CCGUUUACGCUAGCUUCUCUAUAAAUAUUACAAUACACCAACUCAAAAACACUUUAAUCAGACAAGAAACCAAACCAAACUCAAAAACACUAUAAUCAGACAACAAAACCAAACCAUUAUCCCUCCUUUCUUCUCCAAUUAUAUCGAUGUCGGAAGAAAACCGCAAAUGUCAAAAUACAAACCUCAAACCUCCUUCCACUAAAACUCUCUCUCUGUUCAAUCCCGUUUCUGUGCAAUGGAGAAACCACCGGAAGAAACAGCCGGUGGCCCAGAGACCAAACCGGUUUCGAAAUCGAUCAAAGCUCGUUUCCUGAAGAAAGGCUCAAGAUUCGGUGGUGGAGCUCCCGGUUUACAUGGCCGCUGCUGCUGAAGAAGUAAGUCUCGAGAUUCAGAUCUGAUUUUUUUGUUUUAGCGAAAAUCAUUGUCUGAUUUCUAAGAUCUAUGGUGAUUCAGGUGUUAAGAGCUUGCUGCCAGAGACAACAAGAAGUCGACGAUCAUUCCCAGUUUUUUUUUUUUUUUUGCCGAUUAGGAACUAUGAAGCUUUUACCAAUUUUUUUUUUUAGAGUAAUUUUGUAUUAUAUAUUUGUAUUAUGUUAUACAUAUGAGAGAGGAAAGAGAGAGUGGGCGGGGGAAGGUAGGGG
rnacentral:lncRNA from 1 species